GCCUGAACUGGAACCAAAUGCUGAAUGUGACAAGGUAAGGCCCAAGUUGGGCUUUCCUAAGACAAAUGUAGUAAGUUAACUGUACUGCUUCUUAGCUGCUAGUCCCUGAGUCUAGAUCUCUCUGCUGAACUGAUAGAAUCACUGUCACUGGAGAAUGGGUCUGGGGGAUUGGUCUGUCUCAGCUGUCUGAGAAGUCAAAAUUUCCAAGGAAGUAAAGACCUCUCAACUUUGGUUCUUGGUAUAUUCUGGCACUACACUGAGACUUCAGAGACCUGGCUUCAAAUACAAGACUUCCUGUAUCAUCUUGGUCAUUCCUGGUGAUGGUCUUCUCCUCCUGUGAACUCUGAGGCUGAACUCGCUGCACUGGGUGCCAUCUGCCUUCAAAAUCUGUACACGCUUCACUGGGGCUUUGGACUUUCACUCCACUCCAGACAUCUUCCCCCCCGUGGGAUGUGAUGAGCCCCAUACUCCUGAAGAGCUCCUGACUCUUCUUUCUAUGGUAGAUAAACAUGUCAAGACUGGCUUGUACAAGGCUGGGCAGGGUCCAGACCUGAUGUGUGUGAUUCUCUCAGGUGCGAGAAGAGAAGGUGGUAGAAGAAAAGAUGAAAAAAAAAUUAGCUAAGACGACUGGGGGUGUGCAGACCCGAAAACAGAGCGCUGCAGAUGGAGGAGGAUGAACACAAGCAGCAGGAGCUACUGCAGAAGAGGAGAGAGGAUGAGCAGCACGACAAAGGGAGGAAGAUUGCGGAGCUGAAGAAACUGGCAGAGCAGGAACAGGCAAAGGAGAGGAGUCAUAAACCGCAAGAGAAGGGGAAGGCCCUUCACCUGCAGAUGGAGCUGGCAGUGGUUACAGAGGAGGAGCAAAACCAAAAGAAGAAAUCUCCUGUCACUGACUCCUAUCAAGGGCUCCCUUUAGGCUCAAAAGAACCCAGAUUCCCCAAGGUAAAUCCAAAUCACUAU